rnacentral:rRNA from 1 species
AUCGCAAGACCUCGCGCGAUUGGAGCGGCCGAUAUCAGAUUAGGUAGUUGGUGAGGUAAAGGCUCACCAAGCCGACGAUCUGUAGCUGGUCUGAGAGGACGACCAGCCACACGUGGGACUGAGACACCGGCCCAGACUCCUACGGGGGGGCAGCAGUGGGGAAUUUUGGACAAUGGGCGCAAGCCUGAUCCAGCAAUGCCGCGUGCAGGAUGAAGGCCUUCGGGUUGUAAACUGCUUUUGUACGGAACGAAACGGUGAGCUCUAAUACAGUUUGCUAAUGACGGUACCGUAAGAAUAAGCACCGGCUAACUACGUG